rnacentral:rRNA from 1 species
CAUUCACGGAGAGUUUGAUCCUGGCUCAGGACGAACGCUGGCGGCGUGCUUAACACAUGCAAGUCGAACGAUGAACCGCUUUCGGGCGGGGAUUAGUGGCGAACGGGUGAGUAACACGUGGGCAAUCUGCCCUGCACUCUGGGACAAGCCCUGGAAACGGGGUCUAAUACCGGAUAUGACUGUCCAUCGCAUGGUGGAUGGUGUAAAGCUCCGGCGGUGCAGGAUGAGCCCGCGGCCUAUCAGCUUGUUGGUGAGGUAGUGGCUCACCAAGGCGACGACGGGUAGCCGGCCUGAGAGGGCGACCGGCCACACUGGGACUGAGACACGGCCCAGACUCC